UGGGGAAUUUUGGACAAUGGGCGAAAGCCUGAUCCAGCCAUGCCGCGUGCAGGAUGAAGGCCUUCGGGUUGUAAACUGCUUUUGUACGGAACGAAAAGCCUCUUUCUAAUAAAGAGAGGUCAUGACGGUACCGUAAGAAUAAGCACCGGCUAACUACGUGCCAGCAGCCGCGGUAAUACGUAGGGUGCAAGCGUUAAUCGGAAUUACUGGGCGUAAAGCGUGCGCAGGCGGUUUUGUAAGACAGAGGUGAAAUCCCCGGGCUCAACCUGGGAACUGCCUUUGUGACUGCAAGGCUGGAGUGCGGCAGAGGGGGAUGGAAUUCCGCGUGUAGCAGUGAAAUGCGUAGAUAUGCGGAGGAACACCGAUGGCGAAGGCAAUCUCCUGGGCCUGCACUGACGCUCAUGCACGAAAGCGUGGGGAGCAAACAGGAUUAGAUACCCUGGUAGUCCACGCCCUAAACGAUGUCAACUGGUUGUUGGGUCUUCACUGACUCAGUAACGAAGCUAACGCGUGAAGUUGACCGCCUGGGGAGUACGGCCGCAAGGUUGAAACUCAAAUGAAUUGACGGGGUCAUAGCUG
rnacentral:rRNA from 1 species